ACAUAUUUGGUGUGCGUGCGGGUCUUAUGGAAAAAUCCACUUUAAACUUUCACAAAGAGGCGUCUCUAAAACGGCUGUUGUUGCGAUCGCGCAGGUGUGCAUCUUCUACCUCGUGCUCCGUGCCCUCGACACCGUCGAGGAUGACACUAGCAUUCCAACCGACGUGAAGGUGCCUAUCCUCCAGGAAUUCUACCGGCACAUCUACGACCCCAACUGGCACUAUUCAUGUGGAACAAAUAACUACAGAGUGCUGAUGGAUAAUUUUCACCACGUAUCCACCGCGUUCCUAGAGCUUGGUGAAGGUUACCAAAAGGCAAUUGAAGAAAUCACUAGGCGAAUGGGAGCAGGAAUGGCAAAAUUUAUAUGCAAGGAGGUUGAAACUGUUGAUGACUAUGAUGAAUAUUGUCACUAUGUAGCUGGGCUAGUUGGAUAUGGACUUUCUAGACUCUUUCAUGCUACUGGGACUGAAGAUCUGGCUCCAGAUUCACUGUCGAAUUCAAUGGGUUUAUUUUUGCAGAAAACUAAUAUAAUUAGGGACUAUUUGGAGGACAUAAAUGAGAUACCAAGGUCCCGCAUGUUCUGGCCUCGAGAUAUAUGGAGUAAAUAUGCGGAUAAACUUGAGGAUUUCAAAUAUGAGGAAAAUUCAGAAAAGGGAGUACAGUGCUUGAAUGAUAUGGUGACUAAUGCAUUGAUUCAUGCUGAAGACUGCCUUCAGUACAUGUCAGCUUUGAAGGAUCAUACCAUUUUCCGUUUUUGUGCAAUACCCCAGAUAAUGGCAAUUGGAACGUGUGCCUUUUGCUACAAUAACGUGAAUGUCUUUAGAGGAGUUGUAAAGAUGAGACGUGGGCUCACGGCACGAGUGAUUUAUGAGACAGACUCAAUGUCAGACGUCUAUACUGCUUUCUAUGAGUUUUCUUUAUUGUUGGAGUCAAAGAUUGACGACAAUGAUCCAAAUGCUGCGCUAACACGAAAACGUGUGGAUUCAAUAAAGCAAACUUGCAAGUCAUCUGGUUUGCUAAAGAGAAGGGGUUACCAUUUGGACAAGUCACCUUACAAGCCUAUGCUGAUCAUGAUUGUUCUUCUGCUGUUGGCUAUUAUAUUUGGGGUACUGUAUACCAAGUGAAGCCCUUGUUGCCCUUUUUUCAUAUGGAGACUUAAGAGGGCAAAGUAUGUCAGUCCGACCAUGUACUCUGUAGUCUCCAAAGGCUGCGAAAUAUCCAGCGGUACUGACUGUAGAUGAAUGAUGGAUAUGGCUUAGCUUCCACAUGAUGCUGUGCUAAUCUCAAUUCUUUUGCUCCUUUCCUUUCCUCGCGUGGUGUACCGUUUGAAGCUGUUUCAAGGGAAAAGUAUCCUGUAAACUUGUGUUUUUAUUUAGCUAGCAGUGGACACACUGUAGUUUUGUUGGCAUGCUUUUUUUUCCCACAAAAAAACUCGUGUAAAAAGCUACAAUGGAUUGCGUGUUGGGCAACCUAUGUACCGGCGUUAACAUGUGGUGUACCUUGUCUGCAGAGGGCUUAAUAAAAAGGCUUAAGCAGCCUAACCGUCGCAUUUUUUUUUAAAAAAAACA